rnacentral:lncRNA from 1 species
AGCGUUCUAGACACAUCUUCUCUAUAUAGUCACCAGUCAAAUUUGUAGAUAACAAAUUUAAUUUAAGAAUAAAUGAUUCAAUAAUUAAAUUCUAAAAAAAAUUGGAUGUGUAACCUAAUAUGUCGGAUCCUCUAAUAUCGGUAUAUGACAGUCCAAUCAUCCAUACUGAUACUGUCAUAGGGCUGCUAUCGCGCUGCCUCU